GACCUACCGAACUUAGUUAUAGCUGGUUAUCCGAGAAAUGAAUAGAAGUUCAGCCUCCCGGCUUCUCCAUUCACCAGAUUCCAAACGAUGAAAAGAAACCAGGAGAGUUAGUCAAAGGGGGGACAGCCCCUUUGAGCAAGAUACAACUUUACCAGGAGGUUAAAGAUUAUACUCACCAAGGAAAAAUGCCCAAGUAGGCCUAAAAGCAGCCACCACAGCAGAAAGCGUUAAAGCUCAGACAUACUCACACCUCUUAUCCUAAUAAUUAAAUCUCAACCCCCUAAACCUAACGGAUUACUCCAUGCAACCAUGGAAGAAAUUAUGCUAAUAUGAGUAAUAAGAGAGCACUCAAUCUCUCUCCAAGCAUCUGUGUAAAUCGGAACGGACAACCCACCGAAUAUUAACGGCCCCAACCACAGAGGGUAAUGAACAUUAAUAUUACUCACUAGAAAAUCACCCACCAACCAACCGUUAACCUCACACUAGUGUGCCAAUAAGGAAAGACUAAAAGAAAAAGAAGGAACUCGGCAAACACCCACAAGCCUCGCCUGUUUACCAAAAACAUCGCCUCUUGCAAACUUAACGUAUAAGAGGUCCCGCCUGCCCCGUGACACCCAAGUUCAACGGCCGCGGUAUCCUGACCGUGCAAAGGUAGCGCAAUCACUUGUCUUUUAAAUGAAGACCUGUAUGAAUGGCAUAACGAGGGCUUAACUGUCUCCUUUUUCAAGUCAAUGAAAUUGAUCUCCCCGUGCAGAAGCGGGGAUAACUACAUAAGACGAGAAGACCCUGUGGAGCUUUAGACACUAGAGUAGCUCUCAUAAACACAUACACACAUAAACUAAAAGAGCCCUGCUCUAACGUCUUCGGUUGGGGCGACCACGGGGAAACAAAUAACCCCCAUGCGGAAUAAGAGUACACCCUCUUAAAAACAAGAGCCACCGCUCUAAAAAACAAAAUCUCUGACCAUAAGAUCCGGCAAUGCCGAUCCACGGACCAAGUUACCCCA
rnacentral:rRNA from 1 species